GAAACUGCUUUUAUCAGGAGAACACCUUACGGAGACUUGACGGUACUGUAAGAAUAAGGAUCGGUAACUCCGUGCCUGCAGCCGGGUAUACGGAGGAUCCAAGCGUUAUCCGGAAUCAUUGGGUUUAAAGGGUCCGUAGGCGGGCUUAUAAGUCAGUGGUGAAAUCUCCCAGCUCAACUGGGAAACUGCCAUUGAUACUGUAGGUCUUGAAUUAUUAGGAAGUAACUAGAAUAUGUAGUGUAGCGGGAAAUGCUUAGAUAUUACAUGGAAUACCAAUUGCGAAGGCAGGUUACUACUAAUGGAUUGACGCUGAUGGACGAAAGCGUGGGUAGCGAACAGGAUUAGAUACCCUGGUAGUCCACGCCGUAAACGAUGGAUACUAGCUGUUCGGAGCAAUCUGAGUGGCUAAGCGAAAGUGAUAAGUAUCCCACCUGGGGAGUACGUUCGCAAGAAUGAAACUCAAAGGAAUUGACGGGGGCCCGCACAAGCGGUGGAGCAUGUGGUUUAAUUCGAUGAUACGCGAGGAACCUUACCCAGGCUUAAAUGUAGUUUGACCGGUUUGGAAACAGAUUUUUCGCAAGACAAAUUACAAGGUGCUGCAUGGUUGUCGUCAGCUCGUGCCGUGAGGUGUCAAGGUUAAGUCCUAUAACGAGCGCAACCCCUGUUG
rnacentral:rRNA from 1 species